ACUGUCGCCGGCGGUGUAGUUUAGUUCUUACUGGAUAAUGUGUAGCAAACUUGGAUAUGGUCGCAGUCGCUUGUAACUCCUGUAGUGUCCAGAAAGUUUCCUCGCUGUUGCUCCAGUGAUUCCCUUUGGGCUUCGGUCUCCUCCGUUCCCCGGCCGGCAGCCCUUCCCUCAGCUGGAGCCUCCACACCCACACAUGGUCUGUGCUUGGUUCUCACUCCACUGAUGAUCAGCUCGUCCUGCUCAGGGUCGUCCACUCGUUUUUCCACAAAGGUGUGGACUCUGCUAUGGAUCAGUGUGAGGACAGAGAGGAGGGAGACCCUCCCUCUGAAACCACUCUGUGUGAGGAACAUGACAGCCAGACCAAAGCUAAGAGGAGGAAGCUGGAAAAACCUGAACCCAGCUGUGUAUCCAUGAAGAGUGACCGGUCUAUGGAUUAUCCUUUAGUCUUCAAAGAUGAACACCACUCUGUUGAUCAAAGG